AUGAGCACCAUGCGCCUGCUGACACUCGCCCUGCUUUUCUCCUGCUCCUUUGCCCGCGCCGCCUGCGACCCCAAGAUCGUCAACAUCGGAGCUGUGCUGAGCACGCGGAAGCACGAGCAGAUGUUCCGUGAGGCCGUGAACCAGGCCAACAAGCGGCAUGGCUCCUGGAAGAUCCAACUCAAUGCCACCUCCGUCACCCACAAGCCCAACGCCAUCCAGAUGGCCCUGUCGGUGUGCGAGGACCUCAUUUCCAGCCAGGUCUACGCCAUCCUAGUUAGCCACCCACCUACCCCCAACGACCACUUCACUCCCACCCCCGUCUCCUACACAGCCGGCUUCUACCGUAUCCCCGUCCUGGGGCUGACCACCCGCAUGUCCAUCUACUCAGACAAGAGCAUACACCUGAGCUUCCUUCGCACGGUGCCGCCCUACUCGCACCAGUCCAGUGUGUGGUUCGAGAUGAUGCGUGUCUACAGCUGGAACCACGUCAUCCUCUUGGUCAGCGACGACCACGAGGGCAGGGCCGCGCAGAAGCGCCUGGAGACGCUGCUGGAGGAGCGCGAGUCCAAGAGUAAAAAAAGGAACUAUGAAAACCUCGACCAACUGUCCUAUGACAACAAGCGCGGACCCAAGGCUGAGAAGGUGCUGCAGUUCGACCCGGGGACCAAGAAUGUGACGGCCCUGCUGAUGGAGGCACGGGAGCUGGAGGCCCGGGUAAUCAUCCUCUCUGCCAGCGAGGACGACGCCGCCACCGUGUACCGCGCAGCCGCGAUGCUGAACAUGACGGGCUCCGGGUAUGUGUGGCUGGUGGGGGAGCGCGAGAUCUCAGGGAACGCUCUGCGCUACGCCCCGGACGGCAUCAUCGGACUGCAGCUCAUCAAUGGCAAGAACGAGUCAGCCCACAUCAGCGACGCCGUGGGCGUGGUGGCCCAGGCAGUGCACGAACUCCUGGAGAAAGAGAACAUCACCGACCCUCCCCGGGGCUGCGUGGGCAACACCAACAUCUGGAAGACAGGGCCGCUCUUCAAGAGAGUGCUCAUGUCUUCCAAGUAUGCAGACGGCGUGACAGGCCGCGUGGAAUUCAAUGAGGAUGGGGACCGGAAGUUCGCUAACUACAGCAUCAUGAACCUACAGAACCGGAAGCUGGUGCAAGUGGGCAUCUACAAUGGCACCCAUGUCAUCCCCAACGACAGGAAGAUCAUCUGGCCGGGUGGAGAGACAGAGAAGCCCCGAGGGUACCAGAUGUCCACCAGGCUGAAGAUUGUGACGAUCCACCAGGAGCCUUUCGUGUACGUCAAGCCCACGCUGAGCGAUGGCACAUGCAAGGAGGAGUUCACCGUCAAUGGGGACCCCGUCAAGAAAGUGAUCUGCACCGGGCCCAACGACACGUCGCCGGGCAGCCCUCGCCACACUGUGCCUCAGUGCUGCUAUGGCUUCUGCGUCGAUCUGCUCAUCAAGCUGGCGCGGACCAUGAACUUCACCUACGAGGUGCAUCUGGUGGCUGACGGCAAGUUCGGCACUCAGGAGCGGGUGAACAACAGCAAUAAGAAGGAGUGGAAUGGGAUGAUGGGCGAGCUGCUCAGCGGGCAGGCGGACAUGAUUGUGGCGCCGCUGACCAUCAACAACGAGCGUGCGCAGUACAUCGAGUUCUCCAAGCCCUUCAAGUACCAGGGCCUGACUAUUCUGGUCAAGAAGGAGAUCCCCCGUAGCACACUGGACUCGUUCAUGCAGCCCUUCCAGAGCACGCUGUGGCUGCUGGUGGGGUUGUCGGUGCAUGUGGUGGCCGUGAUGCUGUACCUGUUGGACCGUUUCAGCCCCUUCGGCCGGUUCAAGGUGAACAGCGAAGAGGAGGAGGAAGACGCGCUGACCCUGUCUUCGGCCAUGUGGUUCUCCUGGGGCGUCCUGCUCAACUCGGGUAUCGGGGAAGGCGCCCCCCGGAGCUUCUCAGCGCGCAUCCUGGGCAUGGUGUGGGCCGGCUUCGCCAUGAUCAUCGUGGCCUCCUACACCGCCAACCUGGCGGCCUUCCUGGUGCUGGACCGGCCGGAGGAGCGCAUCACCGGCAUCAACGACCCACGGCUGAGGAAUCCCUCCGACAAGUUCAUCUACGCCACGGUGAAGCAGAGCUCGGUGGACAUCUACUUCCGGCGGCAGGUGGAGCUGAGCACCAUGUACCGGCACAUGGAGAAGCACAACUACGAGAGCGCCGCGGAGGCCAUCCAGGCCGUGCGGGACAACAAGCUUCAUGCCUUCAUCUGGGACUCGGCGGUGCUGGAGUUCGAGGCCUCGCAGAAGUGCGACCUGGUGACCACCGGCGAGCUGUUCUUCCGCUCGGGCUUUGGCAUUGGCAUGCGCAAGGACAGCCCCUGGAAGCAGAAUGUCUCCCUGUCCAUCCUCAAGUCCCAUGAGAACGGCUUCAUGGAAGAUCUGGACAAGACCUGGGUGCGGUACCAGGAGUGUGACUCUCGCAGCAACGCCCCUGCUACCCUCACCUUUGAGAACAUGGCAGGGGUCUUCAUGCUGGUGGCUGGGGGCAUCGUGGCUGGGAUCUUCCUGAUUUUCAUUGAGAUCGCCUACAAGCGACACAAGGAUGCUCGACGGAAGCAGAUGCAGCUAGCCUUUGCGGCAGUGAACGUGUGGAGAAAGAACCUGCAGGAUAGAAAGAGUGGUAGAGCAGAGCCCGACCCUAAAAAGAAAGCCACAUUUAGGGCUAUCACCUCCACCUUGGCUUCCAGCUUCAAGAGACGUAGGUCCUCCAAAGACACGAGCACCGGGGGUGGACGCGGCGCUUUGCAAAACCAAAAAGACACAGUGCUGCCGCGACGCGCUAUUGAGAGGGAGGAGGGCCAGCUGCAGAUGUGUGCCCGUCAUAGGGAGAGCUGAGACGCCCUGCCCGCCCUCCUCUGCCCCCCUCCCCCGCAGACAGACAGACAGAUGGACGGGACAGCGGCCCGGCCCACGCAGAGUCCCGGAGCACGACGGGGUCAGGGGGAGGAGCGCCCCCCCAGCCUCCCCCAGGCCGCGCCCGCCCACCCGCCGGUCGGCCGGCUGGCCGGUCCACCCGUCCCGGCCCUGCGCGUGCCCCCGAGCAUGGGGGCUAACGGGCUGCCUUGUCUGUGUAUUUCUAUUUUGCAGCAGUACCAUCCCACUGAUAUCACGGGCACGCUCAACCUCUCAGAUCCCUCGGUCAGCACCGUGGUGUGAGGCCCCCGGAGGCGCCCACCUGCCCAGUUAGCCCGGCCAAGGACACUGAUGGGUCCUGCUGCUCGGGAAGGCCUGAGGGAAGCCCACCCGCCCAAGACUGCCCACCCUGGGCCUCCCGUCUGUCUGUCCACCCUGCUGCCUGGCGGGCAGCCCCUGCUGGACCGAGGCUCGGACCAGAGCGGCUGAGGACAGGCCAGAGCUGAGCUGGCUGGGCAGGGCCGCAGGGCACUCCGGCAGAGGCAGGGCCCUGGGGUCUCUAAGCAGUGGGGGAGAGGGGCUAACCUGGCCCCAGAGGGGCUCGGAGCAGAGACUGAAGCCCCAUCCUUCCCCAGCCACUACCAGAGCCACAGUGGGGGUGCGAGGCCCCAACUGGCUGGGUCACCCCCUCCUCCAGCGCCUGCUCUUGGCAGCCUCAGCUCCACCCCUGUCCUUUUCUUACCCUUGUCCCUUCUCGGCUUGACCCCCAUCCACCCAGCUGGUCCUGCCCCUCCCCAAGGGCAGAUUCUGACGCUCAGCUGGCAGCUGCCUCCCAGGAGCGCCCUGGGUUCUCCGCUGCCUCUGACCUCUUCCUCCCAUCUCCGCGAGGGCUAAGCCGGCUAUUCGCAGCCCGAGAUAGGCUUCCCCACACGCGCUGGCUAGGGACUGUCCUCAGCCCUGCCCGCCAACUUGUACAGGCCCAGCCCUUCCAGUGUCUGAGCGCGUGCCUUCCCCACGCCGCCCAUGCGCAGCCGCGCGCGGCCCCUCCGCCCAGGGGCCCGGCGCGCACUGCCUCUGAC